rnacentral:rRNA from 1 species
AAACUAACAAGGAUUCCUCUAGUAACGGCGAGUGAAGCGGGCAAGAGCUCAAAUUUAAAAUCUGGCGGUCUCCGGCCGUCCGAGUUGUAGCCUAGAGAAGCGUMUUCCGCGGCGGACCAUGUACAAGUCUCCUGGAACGGAGCGUCAUAGAGGGUGAGAAUCCCGUCCUUGACAUGGACCCCCGUCGCUCUGCGAUGCGCUCUCGAAGAGUCGAGUUGUUUGGGAAUGCAGCUCAAAAUGGGUGGUAAAUUCCAUCUAAAGCUAAAUAUUGGCGAGAGACCGAUAGCGAACAAGUACCGUGAGGGAAAGAUGAAAAGCACUUUGGAAAGAGAGUCAAACAGUACGUGAAAUUGUUAAAAGGGAAACGAUCAAAGUCAGUCGCGUCUGUCGGGACUCAGCCUAGCCUUCGGGCGUGGCGCAUUUCCCGGUCUGACGGGCCAGCGUCGAUUUUGGCCGGCGGAGAAGGGUCGGAGGAAUGUGGCUCCUCACGGAGUGUUAUAGCMUCCGGUCGCAAACGUCGGUUGGGAUCGAGCCCWUWWGCAUGGCACGCUUCUGGCGGUGCCCGWGCUGGCGUAAUGGCUUUGACCGACCNGUCUUGAAACACGGACCAAGGAGUCUAACAUGUCUGCGAGUGUUUGGGUGUCAAACCCGGGCGCGUAAUGAAAGUGAUGGUUGGGAACCCUUASGGGGGCACGGACGCCCGUGGCKGACNUUCUGUGACGCGCACGAGGCAGAGCAUGCAUGUUGGGACCCGAAAGAUGGUGAACUAUGCCUGAAUAGGUKGAAGCCAGAGGAAACUCUGGUGGAGGCUCGUAGCGAUUCUGACAUGCAAAUCGAUUGUCAAAUUUGGGNAUAGGGGCGAAAGACUUAUCGACGAUCUAGUAGCNNNNNNNNNNN